GGACAACCUGCCCAAAGGUCCGGGAUAACCCCGGGAAACUGGGGAUAAUACCGGAUAAAUCACAAAUACUGGAAUGGUUUUGUGGUUGAAACUUCCGGGGCCUUUGGAUGGGUCUGCGGCUGAUUAGGUUGUUGCCGGUGUAACGUACCGUCAAGCCUGUAAUCAGUACGGGUUGUGGGAGCAAGAGCCCGGAGAUGGAUUCUGAGACACGAAUCCAGGCCCUACGGGGCGCAGCAGGCGCGAAAACUCUACAAUGCAGGCAACUGCGAUAGGGGAACAUCGAGUGAUACUCAUCUUGGGUGUCUGUCCUCCCGUCUAAAAAACGGGAGUUAGCAAGGGCCGGGCAAGACCGGUGCCAGCCGCCGCGGUAAUACCGGCGGCUCGAGUGGUGGCCGAUAUUAUUGAGUCUAAAGGGUCCGUAGCCGGCUUUGCAAGUCUUUUGGGAAAUCCAGCGGCUUAACCGUUGGUCGUCCGGGAGAUACUACAUUGCUUGGGACUGGGAGAGGUAGGAGGUACUCAGGGGGUAGGAGUGAAAUCCUGUAAUCCUUUGGGGACCACCGGUGGCGAAGGCGUCCUACCAGAACAGGUCCGACGGUGAGGGACGAAAGCUAGGGGCACGAACCGGAUUAGAUACCCGGGUAGUCCUAGCCGUAAACGAUGCUCGCUAGGUGUCACAACAAUCGUGAAUUGUUGUGGUGCCGUAGGGAAGCCGUGAAGCGAGCCACUUGGGAAGUACGACCGCAAGGUUGAAACUUAA
rnacentral:rRNA from 1 species